rnacentral:rRNA from 1 species
CCCUUAGAUGUUCUGGGCUGCACGCGCGCUACACUGAUGCAUGCAACGAGUUUUCGACCUUGCCUGAAAAGGUUGGGUAAUCUGUUUAACAUGUGUCGUGAUGGGGAUAGACCAUUGCAAUUAUUGAUCUUCAACGAGGAAUUCCUAGUAAGCGCGAGUCAUCAGCUCGUGCUGAUUAUGUCCCUGCCCUUUGUACACACCGCCCGUCGCUCCUACCGAUUGAGUGAUCCUGUGAAUGAUUCGGACCAGCGUGCUGCUCAGAUCCUGCGCAGUGUGCUGGGAAGUCUAGUGAACCUUAUCACUUAGAGGAAGGAGAAGUCGUAACA